AUGACAUCACGUGGUGAUCGUCAUCAAGGUUGUGGUGUGCAAGUUCAAGUGGAGCAACACGAAGAUCGGCUCACCCAUAAUGGAGUAUGGGGAGCAAUCAUGCUUGAAGCUUGCCGUCCAUUGUGUUGA
rnacentral:rRNA from 1 species